UACGUAGGCAGCAAGCGUUGUUCGGAGUUACUGGGCGUAAAGGGUGCGUAGGCGGCUUCUUACGUCUGGUGUGAAAUCUCCCGGCUCAACUGGGAGGGUGCGCCGGAUACUGAGGGGCUAGAGUGUGGGAGAGGAAAGUGGAAUUCCUGGUGUAGCGGUGAAAUGCGUAGAUAUCAGGAGGAACACCGGUGGUGUAAACGGCUUUCUGGACCAUAACUGACGCUGAGGCACGAAAGCGUGGGUAGCAAACAGG
rnacentral:rRNA from 1 species